AGUUGCCUCGUAACUGCCAAACGAGACGGACGUGUCCAAAUUGGAGUUCUCGUCAUCCAGUUCCAAUUUCGAUGAAUCGAAUUUCCUUGCGCUUUCUGCCCCGUCAGUAAAGUGGCGUUCAUUUUCGGACGGAUAACGUCAGGUAAAAAUUUAACAGUAAAUUCAUUCCCAUUGCCACUGAGAAAAGUCCAUUUGAUUUAAUCUGUUGUGUCGUUAGUAUUUUACUAUUUUGCUGACGUCAGCUAUUCAACGUUUCAAAGGGGGGCGUUUUGAUCUGACAUUCUCAAGGUGAGUUUACUACCCCCUCACCUGUUAGUACCUGUACAGGAUUUUGUUUUUCUUACCUAUUCCCGAUUGGUUCUAGCCGGUAGGACCCCUUAUCCUCAAUUGUGGGGAAGAGCCAUUACUCCGGUACUCCCCACUGAAUUUUGUAAAUUGCAUUUUCUUUGAAUCCAUUUAAACGGCCGAUUCAGGUUUAUCGCUUUCCCCCUCGUCAGUCUUAUCUCAAACAAAAAUAGGGAGGGCAUAAUAAAGAUUUCGAUUGAAAGAUAAGAAGAGCAUAUACUCGGGUGGAAGUCUAUUUAUUUUAACCCCCGUGAUGUGUUCUCCGCUGGCUAUUUAUCUGUGGCCUCAAUUCACUCAAAUUGUCCCGUAUACAUUUGAAAAUGCAGGGGGAACGAUAUUCGUCAGUGCCUAAAUAAUGUGGAGCUGCUGCUGACUAUAGAAACAGCUGUCCCGCAGUGCGUCGUGUGUCACCCCAGUUUUUUACCAAUAUCGGGAAACUAAACUGCUGGUAUUUUUAUCACGCUCGCCAGAUACGUUUAGCUUUAAUUCACCGCCACACAUUCGUGGUAGGUGGUAGAGUGUUGGCACAACUUUGAAACAUUUAAACAUGAGUCAUCCUAUCCUGAUUUUAUGUUUCUGUGUCGUGAUGUCGGUUGAGGCCACUCGUUCUGAGUAUUUGCAAGCCAAUAAGCCCAAGGUGAUGGAACAAGGAUCUGACCUGUCUGAUUUCUACGCCCUGUUCGGCUCGGAUAGAGCAUCCGCCAAAGAGCCGUGCACCAGAGGAAGCGAUUGUGGCCAUCAGCCGCCAAACCGGUUCCCGACUCCCGCGGACACGGGCGAUUUUGAUUUCCUUUUUCGCACAUUCAACCAUCAUGCCAAAUCGCACAAACAGCAACAAGAUUACAACUAAAAAGGUGCCGCUGUGGUCGAGGAUGGAAAUGAAUUUCCGCUAUGCGCCAGCAAACAUAUCACGGCUAGACAUUUUUACAUCAAAUCAGUAUUCAUUAGAAUUGAGUUGAUCAGCACAUUCGACCCUGUUACAUGCACAAACAUAUUUUAAAAUCACUAGUUUACUAAUUCUAUUUUCUAGCCUGGGGUUUCAAUUAUUAUUAUAUCAUCCAUUUGACGCGAUCAAUUGACGUUUUAAAUUUUCCCGCCAAAUGUAAUUUGUAUCUCGGAGAAUAUAGUAGUCUUCUUCUUCAUCGCACUGUUGACAUUCUAUAUACUCACUUGUUCGAAGACGCUUAUUCUUUUCCAUCGUUUGUUCCUGGAGGAGUCCCGGGAGAUGUAAUUAUCAAGUAGUUAUUCACCUUUCUUUUUCCGCACGUUUGUCGUGAGUAGAAAACCGAUGAUGGAGCGCUGAUGGGCAACCGCUUGCUUUCAUUUCGUCCACCGACGUUAAAAAUUCAUCAGUUAGAAAAUUAAAAAGUAGGGCGUCAGCAGGCUUUGAUGUCGGUGGGUUGGAUGAAUCUCUCCUCCGUGCUGCACGUCGUCUUCAGUUUUCCAAACUGACAGGUGAAAGUGUGCGGUUGAACUCGGUCCGUGUGCUGUGCAGCAGCGGGGCAAGUUUUACAGGUAUAAAAGAGGAUCGCACUUGCAUCCCAUUAUUCACUUGCUCAUCAGCAUUUGCCACUGGAUUAAGAUAAAGCAAUAAACUACCGGAUUAAAUCAUCACAAGUCCUCCUGCAAAUAACCACAAUGAAAUUCACGAUCGCUUAUUGCCUUUUGGUGUUGGUUGUUGCCUCACAAGCCCAGCAAUGGCGGAACAAUUACGAUGCUGGAUCGUAUCCUUCGGAUGACAUCCGAGCUCCUUCUGCGCCCGCCUACCCCGCCGAAGACUAUCCCGCCCCGUUUCAACCCUACACACCACCGAAACAUUACAAAGCGAAACCGGGAAAUCCCGUCUUGUACCGAGAAAUUCCCGUUCCUCUGCCCAUUCCCGCUUACCCCGCUUCCGUCAUUCUACCCUCUCCGCCCUACCCUUCCAAAACCCAUCCCAUCCCCUACGCUUGAUUGGGACAGUUUGAUUUAUAGUCCUCACAAAAUGUCUCUCUUUGCUGUUGAUCAGUUUGACACUAAAAUCCAUUUUUAACUCCAUUUACUUUCCUUUAAUUUCGAUUUCAGAAGAGGUCAUUUGACAAGUGCAACAUUCGCAUUUCGCAAUUGUUUUUAUCGAAUUUUGUUUUGUGCGAAGCAGCUGUCUAAUAAAUCUGAAAGCAAUUUUGUGAAAAAUGACGUAAUAAAACGUUCCUACAGA